CCUACGGGAGGCAGCAGUGAGGAAUAUUGGUCAAUGGCCGUAAGGCUGAACCAGCCAAGUCGCGUGAAGGAAGAAGGAUCUCUGGUUUGUAAACUUCUUUUAUAGGGGAAUAAAGGUAUCCACGUGUGGAUAUUUGCAUGUACCCUAUGAAUAAGCAUCGGCUAACUCCGUGCCAGCAGCCGCGGUAAUACGGAGGAUGCGAGCGUUAUCCGGAUUUAUUGGGUUUAAAGGGUGCGUAGGUUGUUUUUUAAGUCAGCGGUGAAAGUUUGUGGCUCAACCAUAAAAUUGCCGUUGAAACUGGAAGACGUGAGUGUGUUUGAGGUAGGCGGAAUGCGUGGUGUAGCGGUGAAAUGCAUAGAUAUCACGCAGAACUCCGAGUGCGAAGGCAGCUUACUAAGCCAUAACUGACACUGAAGCACGAAAGCGUGGGGAUCAAACAGGAUUAGAUACCCUUGUAGUC
rnacentral:rRNA from 1 species